UUACUGGGCGUAAAGACGCAUGCAGGCGGCCGUUGUUAAGUCAGAUGUGAAAGACCCGGGGCGUUAACCUCGGAAAUUGCAUUUGAAACUAGGCAGGCUAGAGUCUUGUAGAGGGGGGUAGGAAGUUUCUAGGUGUAGCGGUGAAAUAGCGUAGAGAUCUGAAGGAAUACCAGUGGCGAAGGCCGGCCCCCUCGGACAAAGACUGACGCUCAGAUGCGAAAGCGUGGGGAGCAAACAGGAUUAGAUACCCCUGGUAG
rnacentral:rRNA from 1 species